rnacentral:rRNA from 1 species
UACGUAGGGCGCAAGCGUUGUCCGGAAUUAUUGGGCGUAAAGAGCUCGUAGGCGGUCUGUUGCGUCCGCUGUGAAAACUCGGGGCUUAACCCCGAGCCUGCAGUGGAUACGGGCAGACUAGAGGUAGGUAGGGGAGAAUGGAAUUCCCGGUGUAGCGGUGAAAUGCGCAGAUAUCGGGAGGAACACCAGUAGCGAAGGCGGCUCGCUGGGCCAUUCCUGACGCUGAGACGCGAAAGCUAGGGGAGCGAACAGG